GGCUCUCUGCUCAGCAGGGAGCCUGCUUCCUCCUCUCUCUCUGCCUGCCUCUCUGCCUGCUUGUGAUCUCUCUGUCAAAUAAAAGCACCAUCUCCUUAGCCUUUUCCCUGCCUCCUCCCACGUAUAAACUAGGUUUUGUUUCCCUGGUCGAAAUAGCAUCUGAAAUUAAGUAACAAAUACCGUGCAACCUCUCUCCAUUCUGCAGUUAGACUGGAAAAGAACCGGCUUUAAGACUUCUGUAAUAUUCCUGUUUGCUCAGAGAGGAAGACAAGUGUUUCUAUCCAACUGAUUUUGAGAACACACCUCUUUACUGGGUCCUGAACUCCUCUGGACAGUCUGUGUGCUGGAUUCUGUUUGUCCGCUAAUCCAGGUGGACAUGAACUGUGAAGUCCUGGACAGAACAAGGUCAGAACUCAAACCAGGUGUUAAGCUCCAUGUGUAUACCAAGCUCCCCCACUAUGAGGUUCAGAAUUAGAGGCAAGGAGGAUGGGCGGCCUCUGUGGGAAAAGUGAAAGGUGAAAGCUUCUUGUUAGGCUGUCAGAAUGACAAAUUGAAGGUCUGUGAGUCCCUUUCAUCUCCAUGAUGGGUCCAAGUGAUAAGAAAACAAGGCUUAGCCACUCAUGAUAAGCUUGCGGGUUUUGCUGGACAGUUUCCAUACUCGGUCGGGAGAGUGACCUGCAGGGAGGCCGCCAGCAAUCUGCUGCCUGUGCUUGUGUGCGGGUUGUGUCAGUAAUGAGAUGGACUUCUUGCUGGUGGUGCCAUCGGACUGGUUAGUUGGAGCUGAAGUUGUAGAAUUAGGUCGGUGCCUCCUGGAUGCGGUAGGAGACGGCUGCCUGAGGAAGGCCGGGCUUCGUGCUGAGUCCUCCCCAGUCACUGGCUGGCGGGUUGCUGUCCAGCUUUCCCCAGUCUGGGCGGGAGUCCACCGUGGAGGCCAGGGCUUGGGGACACUGAACAUUCUCUAGCUCACUACCUUCCCCCUCAGUUCUGGAUUUCUUCUAUUUUUAGUGACACUGAAAUACUGACCCCAGCCUCACUGGUGAGAUCUCUUUAGGGCAGAGGCUGAAACAAGGGGUGUACUUCAGAUUGCCCAUGUGAAUUAGGAUGUGGGAAGAAAUCGCCUUGGACAGAGCCCAGUACUAGAGUCAAGACAAAGCCAGGCUUCCGCUCCCACUUGGGCAGGUCACCUUUAAGUCUGGUCCGCAGUUAAGCCUGAGGCCUGCUCCUCUCCCUGCCAAGUCUAGGACCUCUUCUCACUUGUCUGAGGUGUAGCAGCUUCUCUGACAGGCCUUACUACUCAAGUCCUCCUGUCUUCUUCUUGCCAGAAAAAGCUGAAGCACCCACUCCACCUGCCAGCGGCAGAAAGAGGUCAACCCCACAGUAAGUGCUGACCAACUUGGCUCAAAGCCCCAGCUAAUCAGCAGGAUCCUAGACACAACUGUACAUCUCUCCAUAAGGGGACAUGGGGGAAGGGUGGCAAAAAUGUACUUUCUCAGAGCAGGGGCAGCACUUAAGAGGGUGAGAGAUGAUUUUUUUUUUUUUCUCUU